rnacentral:rRNA from 1 species
GACAGAGGUGCCGAGCGUUAGGCGGAAUCACUGGGCUUAAAGCGUGUGUAGGCGGAUCCGUAAGUACCUUGUGAAAUCCCACGGCUCAACCGUGGAACUGCUUGGUAUACUGCGGGUCUUGAGCCACCUAGGGGCGAGCGGAACAAGUGGUGGAGCGGUGAAAUGCGUAGAUAUCACUUGGAACGCCAAUGGUGAAAACAGCUCGCUGGGGGUGUGCUGACGCUGAGACACGAAAGCCAGGGAGCAAACGGG